rnacentral:rRNA from 1 species
UGGGGAAUUUUGGACAAUGGGCGAAAGCCUGAUCCAGCAAUGCCGCGUGCAGGAUGAAGGCCUUCGGGUUGUAAACUGCUUUUGUACGGAACGAAAAAGCUUCUCCUAAUACGAGAGGCCCAUGACGGUACCGUAAGAAUAAGCACCGGCUAACUACGUGCCAGCAGCCGCGGUAAUACGUAGGGUGCGAGCGUUAAUCGGAAUUACUGGGCGUAAAGCGUGCGCAGGCGGUUAUGUAAGACAGAGGUGAAAUCCCCGGGCUCAACCUGGGAACUGCCUUUGUGACUGCAUAGCUAGAGUACGGUAGAGGGGGAUGGAAUUCCGCGUGUAGCAGUGAAAUGCGUAGAUAUGCGGAGGAACACCGAUGGCGAAGGCAAUCCCCUGGACCUGUACUGACGCUCAUGCACGAAAGCGUGGGGAGCAAACA